rnacentral:rRNA from 1 species
AGUGAACGCUGGCGGUAGGCCUAACACAUGCAAGUCGAACGGCAGCACAGUAAGAGCUUGCUCUUACGGGUGGCGAGUGGCGGACGGGUGAGGAAUACAUCGGAAUCUACUUUUUCGUGGGGGAUAACGUAGGGAAACUUACGCUAAUACCGCAUACGACCUACGGGUGAAAGCAGGGGAUCUUCGGACCUUGCGGGAUUGAAUGAGCCGAUGUCGGAUUAGCUAGUUGGCGGGGUAAAGGCCCACCAAGGCGACGAUCCGUAGCUGGUCUGAGAGGAUGAUCAGCCACACGGGAACUGAGACACGGUCCAGACUCCUAAGGGAGGCAGCAGUGGGGAAUAUUGGACAAUGGGCGCAAGCCUGAUCCAGCCAUACCGCGUGGGUGAAGAAGGCCUUCGGGUUGUAAAGCCCUUUUGUUGGGAAAGAAAAGCAGCAGGUUAAUACCCCGCUGUUCUGACGGUACCCAAAGAAUAAGCACCGGCUAACUUCGUG